rnacentral:lncRNA from 1 species
UUGAUGUAAGUAUAGUAAUAAUGUUAGAAAUCAUGUUGAAAUUCAGGGCUUCACAUUUUUUUUUUAAAUGACUUAUUAUUAACAAAAUAACUUUAAGUGCCAGUAACUAGAAUAAAUUAUUUAGAUUGGUUGGCCAGUUGACUAUAGGAAACCUACCUAUCAUAGAAAGGAUAUAUAUUAAGGAUGUAAUAAGGAGAAAUUAAAAAAAUCUAGAAUUUAAAUUGAUACUACUAGUCUGAAGAGCAUUAGUUAAGGAACAAAAAUAAGCUGAAAAAAAAUUAAGGUUAUGGAGCUCCUCUUUUCAAGAUAUUUUACUUUUAGAAAAUGGUGGGAUAAGGCUGAUGCUGACUUUUAUUUGAAGUCGAAUUAUUUGGGUCUCAAAUUGAAAAUAAAGAAAUCUAGAAUCUGCUUAAAUUUUGUUAAAUCACCUUUUAUUGAAGUCUUAUACGAAAAUAAAAAAGGGUGUUAUGGGGCAAAAUAUUUUACCUUUUAUCAAAGGGAAAACAACAAAGGGGUCCAAACAUUUGACUAAAUUCCUAAACAUCACUUAAGGAA